CACUUGGCUUGGCUACAGCAUCCUUACAAGUAGCAGGACCUCCUUGCCUGGUGGAAGCAGGAGGGAGUGCUGUCCCACAGGUGUUGUCACAUCUCAGAGGAAUUUCCCACUGGGAUUUCUGCGGCACUUUCAACGGCAAGGGAAGGAACUGAGUCUGAAUUUUGCAUGACAUUGUUGUUGCAAGGUGUCCACAGAUGCCCAGAAGCCAACACGGCCUCCAAAGGAAGCUGGGAACGUUCUGCCAUCCCGGAGAAGACAUGUCUAGGGCUGACCCAGGACUGUAAUCCAGCCCUGCAGUUUAUGUGCAGAGGGCCAUCCCUUUCACACAUGAAGCAUAGCGAGCCCAAACCGGAUCCCCAUUCUCCAUGGAGAUCAGCCUGCAGGGAUGACGAGAGAAGCAGAGUGAGUCCCCAGCCCUCUCCAGAGCAGAACUGCAAAACCACAGGCUUCAGCAAAGCCCUUUGAGCCAGCCCACUUCCCAGCAGAGUGACUGUCCCUUUCUCUACACUCAGGGCUGGAAAUAAUGACAGGAUAUUCUUCCCUGCAGACCUGCCUGACAGAGAGUGAGGAGGGAUCCAGCGUGAAGCCACAAAACUGAUCCUGAGGAAGAAACACAGCUUGCCUCCCGUCCUCCACCCCUGCAGACCCAAGGGGAGGGGCUGUCCGUGGAUGUCCCUUUGGGUCAGAAUCCUGGGCAAGGCAGCAUCCCUGGGUGCUCAGCAGUCUCUUUGAGAGAGGUUUUGUUUAGGUUGGCUGCUGCUGAUCCCAGCCUGUCUUCAGCACACAGAUGCUUUUAGCCUCCUGAGGAGGGGUCUGAGUGGCCAGCAACUGCUGAGGACACUGCCACAAUUCAGCCAUGUCCCUGCUCAGGGCACAGACUGUAAACACAGUAGGGAACCCAGGCCAUAUCCCAGCCCAGCUUGGCUGCCUGGCUUGAGGUCCUCAUCACCCAGAAUUUGGAGCUUGCCUCUUUUUCCAUUACCUCUAAGCAGAAAUGGUGAAUGUUUCGGUAAUGUUUCCUAAAAAUAAAAAUGUCAACAG